rnacentral:rRNA from 1 species
UCUGUGUAGGAUAGGUGGGAGGCUUUGAAGCGUGGACGCCAGUUCACGUGGAGCCGUCCUUGAAAUACCACCCUGGUUUGUUUGAGGUUCUAACCUUGGCCCGUGAAUCCGGGUCGGGGACAGUGCAUGGUAGGCAGUUUGACUGGGGCGGUCUCCUCCCAAAGUGUAACGGAGGAGUUCGAAGGUACGCUUGGUACGGUCGGACAUCGUACCUAAAGUGCAAUGGCAAAAGCGUGCUUAACUGCGAGACCGACAAGUCGAGCAGGUGCGAAAGCAGGACAUAGUGAUCCGGUGGUUCUGAAUGGAAGGGCCAUCGCUCAACGGAUAAAAGGUACUCUGGGGAUAACAGGCUGAUACCGCCCAAGAGUUCAUAUCGACGGCGGUGUUUGGCACCUCGAUGUCGGCUCAUCUCAUCCUGGGGCUGUAGCCGGUCCCAAGGGUAUGGCUGUUCGCCAUUUAAAGAGGUACGUGAGCUGGGUUUAAAACGUCGUGAGACAGUUUGGUCCCUAUCUGCCGUGGGCGUUGGAAUCUUGACGGGGGCUGCUCCUAGUACGAGAGGACCGGAGUGGACGUACCGCUGGUGUACCUGUUGUCUCGCCAGAGGCAUCGCAGGGUAGCUAUGUACGGAAGAGAUAACCGCUGAAAGCAUCUAAGCGGGAAACUCGCCUGAAGAUGAGGAUUCCCUGGAGGCUUGACCUCCUUGAAGGGUCGUUCGAGACCAGGACGUUGAUAGGCUGGGUGUGGAAGCGCAGUAAUGCGUUAAGCUAACCAGUACUAAUUGCCCGUAAGGCUUGAUCCUAUAACCAGUGUGUUUCA